ACUCCUACGGGAGGCAGCAGUGGGGAAUAUUGCACAAUGGGCGCAAGCCUGAUGCAGCCAUGCCGCGUGUAUGAAGAAGGCCUUCGGGUUGUAAAGUACUUUCAGCAGUGAGGAAGGCGGGUACGUUAAUAGCGUGCUCGUUUGACGUUAGCUGACAGAAGAAGCAUACCGGUUCAACUCCGUGCCAGCAGCCGGCGGUAAUACGGAGGGUGCGAGCGUUAAUCGGAAUUACUGGGCGUAAAGCGCAUGCAGGUGGUUUGUUAAGUCAGAUGUGAAAGCCCGGGGCUCAACCUCGGAAUAGCAUUUGAAACUGGCAGACUAGAGUACUGUAGAGGGGGUAGAAUUUCAGGUGUAGCGGUGAAAUGCGUAGAGAUCUGAAGGAAUACCGGUGGCGAAGGCGGCCCCCUGGACAGAUACUGACACUCAGAUGCGAAAGCGUGGGGAGCAAACAGGAUUAGAUACCCUGGUAGGCUCU
rnacentral:rRNA from 1 species